rnacentral:rRNA from 1 species
AGAGUGAACGCUGGCGGUAGGCCUAACACAUGCAAGUCGAACGGCAGCACGGUAAGAGCUUGCUCUUAUGGGUGGCGAGUGGCGGACGGGUGAGGAAUACAUCGGAACCUACCUUUUGGUGGGGGAUAACGUAGGGAAACUUACGCUAAUACCGCAUACACCCUUCGGGGGAAAGCCGGGGACCAGCAAUGGCCUGGUGCUGAUAGAUGAGCCGAUGUCGGAUUAGCUAGUUGGUGAGGUAAUGGCUCACCAAGGCGACGAUCCGUAGCUGGUCUGAGAGGAUGAUCAGCCACACUGGAACUGAGACACGGUCCAGACUCCUACGGGAGGCAGCAGUGGGAAUAUGGACAAUGGGCGCAAGCCUGAUCCAGCCAUACCGCGUGGGUGAAGAAGGCCUUCGGUUGUAAAGCCCUUUUGUAGGAAAGAAAGCAUUCGGUUAAUACCCGGUGUUCUGACGUACCAAAGAAUAAGCAACGG